rnacentral:lncRNA from 1 species
UUCCUCCCUCCCGGUUCUUGUGCCGGCGCUGCUGUCCCCCUCCCGCCCCCUCCGGUUGUGCGGUCUGCUGGCGUGCUGGGUCAGUCGGUCGCAAUGGAAAACCCAGCAGUUUCCUUUUCCUCGCCCGCGUUGACGAGCGAGCGCCUUUCCCGUUGGAAAAGCCCUGGAAUAGGUGGGGGAAAGCCAGCUCUUCAAGACUUUCCAGAAGGCUGGGAACUCCAAGGAAAGGUGUUCUAAAUUAAUUCACUAGGUAGUCCUUUCUGUCGUGAUGCAUUCGCCAAAAACUGGGAGGAGCGACUCAGAGUGGGCGGAGCUAGACUAAUCAGUCUUUUAGACAGACUCAGUCCAAGCAGCUAGGACAAGAGCAGCCCAUUCCUGACCUGUCUCAACAAG